AUGAACGCUAGCGACAGGCUUAACACAUGCAAGUCGAGGGGCAGCACAGGUAGCAAUACCGGGUGGCGACCGGCGCACGGGUGAGUAACGCGUAUGCAACUUGCCUAUCAGAGGGGGAUAACCCGGCGAAAGUCGGACUAAUACCGCAUGAAGCAGGGGCCCCGCAUGGGGAUAUUUGCUAAAGAUUCAUCGCUGAUAGAUAGGCAUGCGUUCCAUUAGGCAGUUGGCGGGGUAACGGCCCACCAAACCGACGAUGGAUAGGGGUUCUGAGAGGAAGGUCCCCCACAUUGGUACUGAGACACGGACCAAACUCCUACGGGAGGCAGCAGUGAGGAAUAUUGGUCAAUGGCCGAGAGGCUGAACCAGCCAAGUCGCGUGAGGGAUGAAGGUUCUAUGGAUCGUAAACCUCUUUUAUAAGGGAAUAAAGUGCGGGACGUGUCCCGUUUUGUAUGUACCUUAUGAAUAAGGAUCGGCUAACUCCGUGCCAGCAGCCGCGGUAAUACGGAGGAUCCGAGCGUUAUCCGGAUUUAUUGGGUUUAAAGGGUGCGUAGGCGGCCUUUUAAGUCAGCGGUGAAAGUCUGUGGCUCAACCAUAGAAUUGCCGUUGAAACUGGGGGGCUUGAGUAUGUUUGAGGCAGGCGGAAUGCGUGGUGUAGCGGUGAAAUGCAUAGAUAUCACGCAGAACCCCGAUUGCGAAGGCAGCCUGCCAAGCCAUUACUGACGCUGAUGCACGAAAGCGUGGGGAUCAAACAGGAUUAGAUACCCUGGUAGUCCACGCAGUAAACGAUGAUCACUAGCUGUUUGCGAUACACUGUAAGCGGCACAGCGAAAGCGUUAAGUGAUCCACCUGGGGAGUACGCCGGCAACGGUGAAACUCAAAGGAAUUGACGGGGGCCCGCACAAGCGGAGGAACAUGUGGUUUAAUUCGAUGAUACGCGAGGAACCUUACCCGGGCUUGAAUUGCAACUGAAUGAUGUGGAGACAUGUCAGCCGCAAGGCAGUUGUGAAGGUGCUGCAUGGUUGUCGUCAGCUCGUGUCGUGAGAUGUUGGGUUAAGUCCCGCAACGAGCGCAACCCUUAUUGCCAGUUACUACGUUAAGAGGACUCUGGCGAGACUGCCGUUGACAAAACGGAGGAAGGUGGGGAUGACGUCAAAUCAUCAUGCCCCUUAUGAGCAGGGCUACACACGUGCUACAAUGGCGCAUACAAAGAGAAGCGACCUCGCGAGAGCAAGCGGACCUCAUAAAGUGCGUCGUAGUCCGGAUUGGAGUCUGCAACUCGACUCCAUGAAGUCGGAAUCGCUAGUAAUCGUGGAUCAGAAUGCCACGGUGAAUACGUUCCCGGGCCUUGUACACACCGCCCGUCAAGCCAUGGGAGCCGGGGGUACCUGAAGUCCGUAACCGCGAGGAUCGGCCUAGGGUAAAACUGGUGACUGGGGCU
rnacentral:rRNA from 1 species